AAUUUUACACCACGUUCGAGUAGUAUGCAAGGCACCAUUUCUUGAUCUAAAUAAAGACGUAAACCCUUGCGGUAGUGUAUCGCUAAGAAGUGAGUUUAUUUAGUAAUAGUGUAAUUACUGAGCUGGAAAAAAUGAAUAUAUCUCUCGAAUAUGCAAUUCUGACGAUAUCAGUGCUGGAUUAAAAACUAUUCAUUGACUAGAUUCUUAAUAAAGUUAAAAGCAACGGGAUCACCCACAAACGAUCUCAUGCUUAUCAUUUGUAACUUUGAAUAUCUAUCUAUUAGAUUAGGCUGAUUGAGUAAUGUCUUAUACUAUGGCUUAGUUCGAACAGGCUAGCUGCUUCCAAUCAAUACUUUAUUAGCAAGUUUGUUAUUACAUAUCUAUUUUAUAAAAAACAAAAAAAUCAUCUAAACUAGUCAAAAUUCCUUACUAAUUUGUAAUACAGAACACUAGCUUAACUUCUACGAAUACUUGAAAAGGAGGCUUAACCGUUAAAGCACAUAUCAACUUUCGGAACUUUAAUAUUCUAUAAAACUAAAUGAUAGAAUACAUACCUUCCACUUGGUUCCACUUUUAACUCUUAAAGAAAUGCUUUUGAGUAAUC